GGGGGUUUGGACCCCUCUAACUCAUUAGCCUUAUGUGAACUUGAUCUCCCUUUCUUUGAACUGUUGUGACAACUGUGCUUAUGACGAUUUGUGUGUCUCGAAGAAGAGACACCAUGAUUCCUUGGAGAACCUCGACGAAGGAACUCUGUUUUUCUAAUUGGCAUACCACGUGUAACUACAUGCCGUGAACUCCCCUUGUAUGAAGGUUUGGUUCUAGCCUCAGCUGGAUUGAGAGAACGUGACCCCACGUGAUGAGAUUCAUCGCCGUCCUCCAUGUCUUCUAAAUCCUCACCAAUUAGAUCAUCCGCUGCCUCAUCCAACACCUCAGCAUCCCUAGAUGCAUCAUGUUGCCGCAACACUAAGCCAUCUGAUUCCCAAUAUCCAUGUCCUGUAAAGCGCCUAUCACCUGGCCAUUUUCCAUAUCAUCCAUGUAGUUUUCUUUCUCCAUAUGAGAGAAAUUAAUAGCACGAGGCUCACCCUUAUCACGAAGUGUGACAUUUGUCAUAUUGAUAACGAUCACGCUCUGUUCUAUCAGCCAACAAAGAUUGGCGUGUAUUUGGCUCAAAAGGGAGAUGAACUGCGAGAACACCCCAGCCUCCUUAGCCUGUAGCCUCUGUUCCUCCAUUUUCUUAGGACAGUGUGUGGCUUCGUGAGAUAGGAAACCACAGUAUGAGCAAUGCUUGAAGAGCUUCUCAUAUUUGAACUGAAUAGUAACCUCAUCACCUCGUGGAGAUUGUACCUUCUUGUUAAAGACUAACGACUUCCUUGUGUCAGCCUCCACCAGUAAGCGACCCGCUGACAGUUCAAUCGUGUCAACGUGUCCGAGCUUCUUCCCAAUAUUCUUUAAGUUCUUCACUGUCCAGAGAUGGAGCGGUAUUCCUAUGAUCUCCACCCAGAAAGGAAUGAUCCAGGAAUACUCAUCAUGAACAAUGGGCUCCGAUCAGACCAUCACAAACAUAAAGAAGUUAUAGUGAAAUGGCCCUUGACUAAGUACAUCCUGUAUAUCCUCUUCUGAUGAAAAGUUGAACAAGAACUUCCUAUUACCAAGAUCAUUGGCCAUAACUCUGUCUUGUACUCCCCAUUGGGUCGGCAUAGAUAUGAUCAGCUUCUCAACAUCUUGUUUCUUCGGGUUUAAGAUUUUACCAAUCGGUGACAUAUGGAACUCCCGAAUUGAGAAUCCUCCUCCUCUUCCAACUGAAUAGGAUCGUCGUCUUCUUCAUACAAGAUCCCUUUUCCCUUCAAAUCUGUCAUAGGAGCAGAUGAAAACCUCUGAGAGGUUCCCAUAUUACACAUCAGAGAAACACAUAUCCAACGUAAAACCAAAAUACACACCAGCCAAAGGGCUCGUUAUAUGAGAUCCGGGCCUGAUAUCGAGAGAUCGGACAAAUCAACCAGCCAAAGAACUAGUAAACACAGAUCCAACCUUGAUAUCAAAAGUUCAAAAAACAAAUAAAGGCCAAAUAGAGUGUCAAAACGAAACCGAGAUGAAAUCUUAUACAACUUUCUUGAUGGAGAAGCCACGAUAAUCCAUUGCCCACUGUGUGAGAAAACCUGGAUCCAGAAGAGUGAGAGAGUCGAUGCUAACACAAAUAAUCAUUGUGGGCAUGUUACUCAUACUAUAAUCGUAUACUUGUUUAGCAUAACGACCCUACAUAGUACACAUCAUCUUCACAUUACUGUAUAAUAUAAACUUAAGUUAAUAAAUAUAAUAUACAUAUUUAGGUAGCAAAUAAGAAAAGGUAAAGUACUUAAGCUUACUUUUGGUCACGUAACUCAAUCAAGAGCCUCAUGUUAUCUUUUCCUUUUAUCAUUUUGUUUUCAAUAGAACCGAAGUUAACUAUUUGACCAAUAACAUCUACAUUCCAAAAUAAAAAUAAUUAAAUUAACACAAAUAAUACAAAACCAAAAGAAUAUCUAAACUUUACAAAUUCAAUUAAGUAGGUAUAAUAUUAAAGUUAUUUAAUAAGCAGAUUAAUAGCCUUAAAAUCAUAUAUAAAUUAUUAGUGCAUGAACAAUUCCCAGUUGAAAAUUACUUACCAACCAAACGACUUUUAUCAGCUUUUCCACCAGGAAUUUCAGUGUAAUCAGCCAAAUACUUCUCAGGAACUUCACUUGGAAAAUUAUUUGGUUUUGCAACAAAAGUCGCGUGGAAGAACCCAAUUUUGUACGGAUGAGAGCUUGUCUGAUAAUCACCAAUAGCAUCGUACACUUUGAAUAACUGGACAACCUUCAAAUUUUUUGAUGAGCUGUUCACAAACUGAAGCAUGAAAUUUUAUCCCUGAUCGAAUAUAUGAAAGUUAUGAGUUAGACAAAUAAAUUAUAAGGGUUGACGGAAAGCAGAAUAAGUAGUUAUGAAACACUAUAAAAAAUAUUGUUCAUUGUAAAGUAAAUAUAAUAUAUGACGAUUAUGAGUUUUGAGAAAUUUAGUACCAAAAACAAAUACCAUUUCGAUGGUGUUGUCGUAUUCUUUGUUAUAAUUUCUCCACAAGCGAAAAAAUCCGUACUUCAAUAUGCCAUGUAUCUUUAGACGGGUUUUUAAAAAUUGUUAGGAAAAGAGAAUAGUUGUAUUGUAAGACGUUAGACGUUUGGGGUUCCAGUUAUAUAUAUAGUCUACCUUCCACAUUAGACAUUUAUUAGGGAAUAUUUUACAUAAUAAAUGACGUUUUUGAAAUAAUUUUUAUCAAGAAAGAAACUAAAAUUAUAUUACCAUAAGGUGAAAUGCAAUAAACACAAUACCAACUUGGCACAAGUAAUCCAUAUUCAAAAAGGGUAAAUUAUUAAAAGCGAGCUAACAAAUUAUAAUGCAUUAACUAUUAUCAACUUGCGCAAGUAAUAGGGGAAUUUAAAAAAAUGGUAAAGUUAUAAAUAAACGGGCAAAAAAUUAUAAACAUUAAGGUUACUUAGGUAAAUUAUUAAAAACAAUAAGGUAAAUUACAUUUAAACAAUGCAAUAAAUACUAGCAACUUGCUAGGGAUGGCAAUUGGACCGCGAUCCGCGGGCCUGGCCCGUAAAAGUCCCAUGCAGGACGGGUUUGUGCUUAGGCCCGAUAAAGUGCGGGCCUUUCGGGCUGGGUAAUUUUGGGUUUGGGCCAUAGCGGGUUGGGUCUACGCGGUUUAGCGGGACGUGGGAAGCCCGCAUUUCUUCAUUUUCAUCUUUCAGACUUCUCACCGACGAGGAGACGACUCUUGCGACCACCGAAGCUUCUCUUCUUCCUCCAGCCACCGCCGGAGCUUCUCUUAUUCGUCGAUCAACCACCAUAGGCCGUAGCUUCUCUUUCUCGGUUAAACAGGUGUCGAUUUCUUCCUCUGAGUAGACACCAUUUAAGUAUCAAUAGUGAUCCCAAGAUCCAUGAUGGAUGGUUUUGACUUUUGUAUGCAAGCUUGAAUCUUAGAGUACACGCCUGUUCGUUCAGAUUCUGCUAUUGACUACCAAUGCACUUGCUCUGUUGCCGAUAGGGAUUAGUGUAAAUCAGCUGCGUUCUCUUCCUGAAGGUGCUACUACCAUGGCUGUUCCAGUUGCUAUGGGUGCAUACAUCUGUAGUUAUGUACCUUUAACUUUGUUACUGUGCCAUCCUUUGCAUCUGUCUACAACGAGUAUGCUCUAAAGAGCCAGUACGACACAAGCAUUCAUCUCUAGCUAAUCCUCAUACAAGUUUUUUCCUUAUGGCAUCAGAGAAGUGAGGAUCUUCUAGUAACAUUGGAAGGCUUCUGGUGACCGUUGCUUGUAGAAUUAGAUGUUUAGUCAUGUUAAUAAAACUGAUGUGAUAAUCGUUGAUAAUAAUACUUGUGCAUUGAUUCCAGCUUAGUAACUCGUUUAUACACUAUGUUAUCUGUGUCGUUUUAGUUUUAAACCCUACUUCUAGUGUGUCGUUAGUUUCUGUAAAUUAUAAAUAAUUAAUUUUAAAAAAAUUAAAUUUAAAAUAUUUACAAAAUUAAAAACCCUAACAAAUAAACCUAAACACACGAUACCUAUUCUCUCACCGUCUCACGACUCAUCGUGACUUUGUGAGGAAAACAUAAACACAAAAAAAACUUGAGAAAGCAAGAGGCUAUGGAUCCUAAUUUCAAGCUAUUCGAUACCUGUGACUUGGACACACAAGGACUGAUAGCAGCUCUUAACGCUACUACUGAUGCUUUUUGUGAUGAUGGAAAGAAGCAAGAACGGAAACGAAGGCUGAUCGAAGUAGAUGAUGAUGAAGUUGAUACUCCCAUUUUCGUAUGUGGAGUAUGAAAAAGUGAGAGACACUUGGAGUUAUUUGAAUGCUGAUGUCCAAACCAUUUGUCGAAACACGGCGAAAGCAGAUGUGUUCCGGUUGUUUGAAAGCGACAGAGAUACACUGAUGAGGGAAUUGGCGAGUCUUCCUGGAAGAGUUUCCUUGACGUCUGAUUUGUGGUCAUCGCUAAAACGUGAGGGUUAUAUAUGUGUGACGGCUCAUUACAUUGAUCGAAAUUGGAAGUCGAACAGCAAGAUCUUGACGUUUUUUGCUUUAUCACCACCACAUACGGGUAUGAAUGUUGCGAUGCAGCUCCUUGAAUCACUGAAAGAGUGGGGAAUAGAAAAAAAGGUGUUCUCGAUCACAUUCCAUAAUGCUACAAGCAACGACUCGAUGCAAGAUAUUGUGAAAUCGCAGCUGAUGUUGAACGAUGACUUGUUGUGUGGUGGAGAAUUUUUCCAUGUCAGAUGUGCAGCUCACAUACUUACCUCAAAGUGCAAGAUGGUUUGAAGGUUAUUGGAGGUUCUUUGCACAAAGUAAGAGAGAGUAUUAAGUAUGUAUGAGCAUCGGAAGCGCGUGAAGUAUUGUUUGAUAAAUGUGUGGUUGCUGCUGGUAUAAAGGAAAAUGCGGGUCUGAUACUGGAUGUGCAGACAAGAUGAAAUUCGACUUUCUAUAUGCUUGAAAAAGCCAUCAAGUUCCGCAAAGCGUUUCUUAAGUUGGAGACUUUUGAUAGGAGAUGUUAUAAAAUGGCGCCUACAGCUGAGGAAUGGACAAGAGCUGAGAAUAUUUGCUGUUUUUUGGGACCUUUCGCUGUGAUUACAAGUUUGAUGUCUGGUUCCAAUUACCCGACUUCAAACUUGUAUUUCUAUCAGGUUUGGUUGAUCCAUGAUUGGCUUCGAAUUAAUGAAGAAAGCCAAGAUGAGGUUGUCAGAGAGAUGGUGCCACCGAUGAAAGAGAAGUUCGAUAAAUAUUGGGAAGAAGUCAGUUGUGUUUUCGCGAUGGCAGUCGUCUUUGAUCCACGUUUUAAGCUUUCUAUUGUGGAUUGUUGUUUAGGGAAGCUUGACAUGAGUACAUGUGAUGCAAAGUUGAGAAACUUGCGUGAUAAGCUUAGUACUCUGUUUGAGUCUUACGACAAAAAAUCUAAAGACUAACUCACCUUCUACAGAGCCACGUGAGACGGUUCCACAAAAUGUUUUGUGCUGAAGGGUCAAUGGGUAUGUUUGAGAACUACAAUGUGAGUGUUUCGAUUUUUUUUAACAUUCUGUUUAUUUAUUUUUUUUAAAUAGUUUUUGAUCUUUUUUUAAACCUUCAUAGGAUUUCUUUGCGUUUCGCAAAGUCAGCGGUGUUGUGAGUGGAAAAACACCUCUAGAAGCUUAUCUUGAUGAACCACCCUUGGACUUUAAUAGUUUCCGGAGCAUGGACAUUCUCAAGUGGUGGAAAGAUAAUACUCAUAGGUAUGGCGAUUUGUCAGCAGUGGCUUGUGAUUUACUGAGUAUUCCUAUUACAACAGUGGCUUCAGAGUCUUCCUUUAGCAUUGGAUCGCGAGUCCUUAAUAAAUACAGGAGCCGUCUACUCCCGAAGAAUGUGCAAGCUCUGAUGUGUACUAGGAACUGGCUAAAGGGAUAUGAAGCUUAUUAACAUGGUAAAAUAUUCUCAUUAUCAUAUAAUUUUGAGUACCAUGACUAUUAAUAUUUACUAACUUCAACUAUUGAUAUUUUCUAAAGAUGAAAUUCAUGAUGAAGAAGAGAAGCUACCAUCAUUUGAAUCCAUUGUCAAUGGUGAAGAUGAAGAUGAAGAAGAAGAAGUUUAAUUUAAUUUUAUUUUGAUUUGGUGUUUUGCUUUUAUCUACAUUUAGAAUGACUGUUUGGAUUUGGGUUUUUAUUAUGUUUGGGAUUCAUCGUUUGGAUCUGGUGUUUUUUUUUUAACUUAAAUUUGGUUAAGACUUGAAAAAUUUGCAGUGUUUGUCUGUGCUUUUAGUAAUGUACUUUUGCAAACAAUA